rnacentral:rRNA from 1 species
AGAGUUUGAUCAUGGCUCAGAAUCAACGCUGGCGGCGCGCUUAACACAUGCAAGUCGAACGAGAAAGGGGAGCAAUCCCUGAGUACAGUGGCGUACGGGUGAGUAACACGUGGAUGAUCUAACUUCUAGUGGGGAAUAACCCCGGGAAACUGGGGAUAAUACCGCAUAAGCUCGAGAGAGGAAAGCAGCAAUGCGCUGGAAGAGGAGUCCGCGGCCGAUUAGCUAGUUGGCAGGGUAAAAGCCUACCAAGGCAAAGAUCGGUAGCCGGCCUGAGAGGGCACACGGCCACACUGGCACUGAAACACGGGCCAGACUCCUACGGGAGGCAGCAGUGGGGAAUCUUGCACAAUGGGGGAAACCCUGAUGCAGCGACGCCGCGUGAGCGAUGAAGCCCUUCGGGGUGUAAAGCUCUUUCGGCAGGGAAGAUAAUGACGGUACCUGCAGAAGCAGCUGCGGCUAACUACGUGCCAGCAGCCGCGGUA